rnacentral:piRNA from 1 species
UGCGCAGAUUAUUUGUUUACCACUUAGAA